UCUUCUUUCCCCCCCACCUUUGCAGCCAAGCUGCAGAGAAGGGCUGUGUUUUUCCCUCUCGCUGUUUAGUGAGAGUGGAUGUGAGGCUCAGCAUUGGAGCAGAGCCAAGUGGAUGGGCCGGAGGAGGCUCGAUUGCUAGGGAGAAAAUUCCCAGGCAAGAAUUGGAGACAGAACCCCUGAGAGAGAGAGAGGGGGGCCCGGAGGAUGUCUCUGCUGUGAACUAAAAUGCAGGACAACCGAAAACCUGAGGAGAAAUCAACAUUCCAGGACACAGACGCUUGAUAAGCUGAACUACACUGCAGCAGCCUACGAACUGAGGCAGAUGAAGAUAAAAAAUC